rnacentral:rRNA from 1 species
CCUACGGGAGGCAGCAGUAGGGAAUCUUCCGCAAUGGACGAAAGUCUGACGGAGCAACGCCGCGUGAGUGAUGAAGGUCCUCGGAUCGUAAAACUCUGUUGUUAGGGAAGAACAAAUUUGUUAGUAACUGAACAAGUCUUGACGGUACCUAACCAGAAAGCCACGGCUAACUACGUGCCAGCAGCCGCGGUAAUA